UACGAAGGGGGCUAGCGUUGUUCGGAUUUACUGGGCGUACAGCGCGUGUAGGCGGGUCGUUAAGUUGGGGGUGAAAUCCCGAGGCUCAACCUCGGAACUGCCCUCAAAACUGGCGACCUGGAGCAAGAUAGAGGCAAGUGGAAUUGCGAGUGUAGAGGUGAAAUUCGUAGAUAUUCGCAGGAACACCAGUGGCGAAGGCGACUUGCUGGAUCUUUGCUGACGCUGAGACGCGAAAGCGUGGGGAGCAAACAGG
rnacentral:rRNA from 1 species